rnacentral:rRNA from 1 species
GGCUCAGGACGAACGCUGGCGGCGCGCCUAACACAUGCAAGUCGAACGAGAGAUGAGGAGCUUGCUCUUCAGAUCGAGUGGCGAACGGGUGAGUAACGCGUGAGGAACCUGCCUCAAAGAGGGGGACAACAGUUGGAAACGACUGCUAAUACCGCAUAAGCCCACGGCUCGGCAUCGAGCAGAGGGAAACGGAGCAAUCCGCUUUGAGAUGGCCUCGCGUCCGAUUAGCUAGUUGGUGAGGUAAUGGCCCACCAAGGCGACGAUCGGUAGCCGGACUGAGAGGUUGAACGGCCACAUUGGGACUGAGACACGGCCCAGACUCCUACGGGAGGCAGCAGUGGGGAAUAUUGCACAAUGGGGGAAACCCUGAUGCAGCGACGCCGCGUGGAGGAAGAAGGUCUUCGGAUUGUAAACUCCUGUUGUUGAGGAAGAUAAUGACGGUACUCAACAAGGAAGUGACGGCUAACUACGUGCCAGCAGCCGCGGUAAAACGUAGGUCACAAGCGUUGUCCGGAAUUACUGGGUGUAAAGGGAGCGCAGGCGGGAGAACAAGUUGGAAGUGAAAUCCAUGGGCUCAACCCAUGAACUGCUUUCAAAACUGUUUUUCUUGAGUAGUGCAGAGGUAGGCGGAAUUCCCGGUGUAGCGGUGGAAUGCGUAGAUAUCGGGAGGAACACCAGUGGCGAAGGCGGCCUACUGGGCACCAACUGACGCUGAGGCUCGAAAGUGUGGGUAGCAAACAGGAUUAGAUACCCUGGUAGUCCACACCGUAAACGAUGAUUACUAGGUGUUGGAGGA